UCGAGGAUCUUCGGCAAUGGGCGCAAGCCUGACCGAGCGACGCCGCGUGCGGGAUGAAGGCCUUCGGGUUGUAAACCGCUGUCAGAGGGGAUGAAGUUCUAGGGGGUUCUCCCCCUGGUUUGACAUAUCCUCAGAGGAAGUACGGGCUAAGUUCGUGCCAGCAGCCGCGGUAAGACGAACCGUACAAACGUUAUUCGGAAUCACUGGGCUUAAAGGGUGCGUAGGCGGUCCGGUAAGUUGGGUGUGAAAUACCUCGGCUCAACCGAGGAAUUGCGCCCAAAACUGUCGGACUCGAGGAAGAUAGAGGUGAGCGGAACUUAGGGUGGAGCGGUGAAAUGCGUUGAUAUCCUAAGGAACACCAGUGGCGAAAGCGGCUCACUGGAUCUUUUCUGACGCUGAGGCACGAAAGCUAGGGGAGCGAAGA
rnacentral:rRNA from 1 species